ACUACGGGAGGCUGCAGUGGGGAAUAUUGCACAAUGGGCGCAAGCCUGAUGCAGCCAUGCCGCGUGUGUGAAGAAGGCCUUCGGGUUGUAAAGCACUUUCAGCGGGGAGGAAGGCGGUGAGGUUAAUAACCUCAUCGAUUGACGUUACCCGCAGAAGAAGCACCGGCUAACUCCGUGCCAGCAGCCGCGGUAAUACGGAGGGUGCAAGCGUUAAUCGGAAUUACUGGGCGUAAAGCGCACGCAGGCGGUCUGUCAAGUCGGAUGUGAAAUCCCCGGGCUCAACCUGGGAACUGCAUUCAAACUGGCAGGCUAGAGUCUUGUAGAGGGGGGUAGAAUUCCAGGUGUAGCGGUGAAAUGCGUAGAGAUCUGGAGGAAUACCGGUGGCGAAGGCGGCCCCCUGGACAAAGACUGACGCUCAGGUGCGAAAGCGUGGGGAGCAAACAGGAUUAGAUACCCCUGUAGUC
rnacentral:rRNA from 1 species